rnacentral:rRNA from 1 species
CCCUGGCAGUCAGAGGCGAUGAAGGACGUGCUAAUCUGCGAUAAGCGUCGGUAAGGUGAUAUGAACCGUUAUAACCGGCGAUUUCCGAAUGGGGAAACCCAGUGUGUUUCGACACACUAUCAUUAACUGAAUCCAUAGGUUAAUGAGGCGAACCGGGGGAACUGAAACAUCUAAGUACCCCGAGGAAAAGAAAUCAACCGAGAUUCCCCCAGUAGCGGCGAGCGAACGGGGAGGAGCCCAGAGCCUGAAUCAGUGUGUGUGUUAGUGGAAGCGUCUGGAAAGGCGCGCGAUACAGGGUGACAGCCCCGUACACAAAAAUGCACAUGCUGUGAGCUCGAUGAGUAGGGCGGGACACGUGGUAUCCUGUCUGAAUAUGGGGGGACCAUCCUCCAAGGCUAAAUACUCCUGACUGACCGAUAGUGAACCAGUACCGUGAGGGAAAGGCGAAAAGAACCCCGGCGAGGGGAGUGAAAAAGAACCUGAAACCGUGUACGUACAAGCAGUGGGAGCACGCUUAGGCGUGUGACUGCGUACCUUUUGUAUAAUGGGUCAGCGACUUAUAUUCUGUAGCAAGGUUAACCGAAUAGGGGAGCCGAAGGGAAACCGAGUCUUAACUGGGCGUUAAGUUGCAGGGUAUAGACCCGAAACCCGGUGAUCUAGCCAUGGGCAGGUUGAAGGUUGGGUAACACUAACUGGAGGACCGAACCGACUAAUGUUGAAAAAUUAGCGGAUGACUUGUGGCUGGGGGUGAAAGGCCAAUCAAACCGGGAGAUAGCUGGUUCUCCCCGAAAGCUAUUUAGGUAGCGCCUCGUGAAUUCAUCUCCGGGGGUAGAGCACUGUUUCGGCAAGGGGGUCAUCCCGACUUACCAACCCGAUGCAAACUGCGAAUACCGGAGAAUGUUAUCACGGGAGACACACGGCGGGUGCUAACGUCCGUCGUGAAGAGGGAAACAACCCAGACCGCCAGCUAAGGUCCCAAAGUCAUGGUUAAGUGGGAAACGAUGUGGGAAGGCCCAGACAGCCAGGAUGUUGGCUUAGAAGCAGCCAUCAUUUAAAGAAAGCGUAAUAGCUCACUGGUCGAGUCGGCCUGCGCGGAAGAUGUAACGGGGCUAAACCAUGCACCGAAGCUGCGGCAGCGACGCUUAUGCGUUGUUGGGUAGGGGAGCGUUCUGUAAGCCUGCGAAGGUGUGCUGUGAGGCAUGCUGGAGGUAUCAGAAGUGCGAAUGCUGACAUAAGUAACGAUAAAGCGGGUGAAAAGCCCGCUCGCCGGAAGACCAAGGGUUCCUGUCCAACGUUAAUCGGGGCAGGGUGAGUCGACCCCUAAGGCGAGGCCGAAAGGCGUAGUCGAUGGGAAACAGGUUAAUAUUCCUGUACUUGGUGUUACUGCGAAGGGGGGACGGAGAAGGCUAUGUUGGCCGGGCGACGGUUGUCCCGGUUUAAGCGUGUAGGCUGGUUUUCCAGGCAAAUCCGGAAAAUCAAGGCUGAGGCGUGAUGACGAGGCACUACGGUGCUGAAGCAACAAAUGCCCUGCUUCCAGGAAAAGCCUCUAAGCAUCAGGUAACAUCAAAUCGUACCCCAAACCGACACAGGUGGUCAGGUAGAGAAUACCAAGGCGCUUGAGAGAACUCGGGUGAAGGAACUAGGCAAAAUGGUGCCGUAACUUCGGGAGAAGGCACGCUGAUAUGUAGGUGAAGUCCCUCGCGGAUGGAGCUGAAAUCAGUCGAAGAUACCAGCUGGCUGCAACUGUUUAUUAAAAACACAGCACUGUGCAAACACGAAAGUGGACGUAUACGGUGUGACGCCUGCCCGGUGCCGGAAGGUUAAUUGAUGGGGUUAGCCGCAAGGCGAAGCUCUUGAUCGAAGCCCCGGUAAACGGCGGCCGUAACUAUAACGGUCCUAAGGUAGCGAAAUUCCUUGUCGGGUAAGUUCCGACCUGCACGAAUGGCGUAAUGAUGGCCAGGCUGUCUCCACCCGAGACUCAGUGAAAUUGAACUCGCUGUGAAGAUGCAGUGUACCCGCGGCAAGACGGAAAGACCCCGUGAACCUUUACUAUAGCUUGACACUGAACAUUGAGCCUUGAUGUGUAGGAUAGGUGGGAGGCUUUGAAGUGUGGACGCCAGUCUGCAUGGAGCCGACCUUGAAAUACCACCCUU